GUGUACUUCCAGUUAAUUACAAAUGUUUUUAAGAUUAUCCUUGGUAUCCUCUGUAUAUUACUUGUGCCAUAAAACUAAUGUUCUGAAAGGAAUAUUAAUUAUAACAGUAUAUAACUACCAAGGAAUUGCCCAGGACAAUAAUGUACCUGCUGCUUCUUCCUAGUUCUAUACCAUUAUUUCUGUUAUGGCCCAGUAUACAGUAUAUGCAUUUGAUUUACUGAGACAUAGGGCUGUAUUCUCUAAGCUUUAGUAGUGCUCCUGCCUGUAGCCUGUAGUGUUAACAGAUGCACUGGGAAUCUGUGGGUCUGUAUUUGUUUAAUUUAUUAAAGGAACAUAUUGAUUGUGCUGUUAUAUAAUACAUUGGUUUUUGUUUAUCUGAGCUCUAACUUUGGACUGUAUUUCCAGACCACAGGCUUUGAAAGCACGCCUUUACAGCUAGACUACAGGGAUGUGUCAAUGUCAUUGUAAUCUCAAGAGUGGGAGAGACUCUGAGAAACUGGUUAGAGUCAGCCAGCAGAGGGGGUUCCAUGUUUCUACUGAGGCGAUCCCUGAGGGGGCGCAGGUCAACAGCACACCCGUUGGAAGGUGCACAACAACUGGGUCACAAAGUUAGGGAGGAUCUUUUUGGCUAGUAUUCAUAGUCAUUUUUCUUUUAUGAAUAAUACAUGAUUUAUUAUGCUCUUUUCUAUAGCUUUGGACUUAAAGAGUAAGUGUAACAUGCAAUCUCAUACAACAAGAGCUCUGGUUUUUCUGUUCUAUACCACAUCAUGGAUUAUUAUUGCUGUGUUCCCUGUUUGCCAACGUGGGCAAUAAUCCUUACACUUUCAGUGCACUAGAGCGGCCAUUUUGAAAAGAGCAUUGAAGCAGACUUAAACUUAC